CGCCAUCUUAGCGCGGCUGAAGACUGCCGCGCUGGGUUUUGGGAAACUCCUCGGAAGGGGCGGGGACUUGGAACCCCGCGUCCGCCUGCCUGGGCGGAGCCAGUGCGGCCUGGAGGGCUUCUGGGGCAACUUUUGGGAUGUGAUAUUCUCUCUUAAUGCUGGGCAGUGUCAGUGAGUCAUCGCUCCCAGUCAGCCACAUGAUGGUGAAGGCAACUGACAGACUUACAGUUGUCAUACUGGGAUAUUUGAAGCUGCAUGCCCCUUGCAGUUUUGACAGUAUGGUUCUGCCACCAGCAACCACAUCUUCAGUGAAGAGAACUCCUCACAGAGGAGGGGCAAGUGGCUAGCCCUGCUUCACAAGGCAACUCUCAUAUAUUGCAAUGAAAAUGGGUUGCAUGCUUUAGAAAAUUCCACAGAACAUUCAAGGGAAAGACACUCACCUAAGCAAUCAAAGUAAAUGCUGAAUUGCA